rnacentral:tRNA from 1 species
GGUGGCUCAGUGGUAGAGUGCUUGCCUUGCAUGCAUGAGGCCCUGGGUUUGAUUCCCAGCACCA